GAGAAGAAGGGAUAGAAAAAGAGAGAAGAGACAGGAAAAAAGAAGGAAGAAAAAAAAUGGUGAGAGAGAGUGUGAGAGGAUCUCGGAGAGUGAGAGGAUCCCUGAGAGGGAGACGAAGGAGAAAGAACCCAUGAGUGGGUGAAUAAGAUGAAUAUGAAAGAGAAAGAUGUAGAGCUCCAACAAGAAAAAGAGGAAAAACUCAAAACAAAACUAUGACACUCUAAUCUCUUAUGUAAUUUCUCUAAGUAAAAAGACGAGAGACUCGUUAGGAGGACCAUCAUUGUGGAGAGAAGUUCAAGUAAUGGUUUGAGAUGAUGUUCGAGAAAUAAUGAAAACAAUUAUUUGAUAUUUUUAUUAUUUUUAAAAAUAUUGAUAAUUUUUACUUCAUGAGUCUUAUAUCUACUUUUUUUUUUUUAAAUUUUAAAAAAGAAUAUUUUUUUGUUUGUUUUAGAAAGAUGAUAAAUACCACUAUAACUAAUUUGCACAACCGUGAAAUUUUGAAUUCAACUGAGAUAUGACGUACAACCUAACAGUCUUGAUAUUUUUCAGUUGAGCUAAACUUAAGGACCUUACUUCUAGUUUAUUAACGAGUAAAAUUAACACAAAUUUUAUGAAAUAAAAAUAGAAAAUAUUUUUACAAAAUAAAAAAAAAAUAGAAAAUGCAUUAUUGUAAAAUAUCAUAUUAGCAUACAAGUUUUAUAAUUUUAAAUUUUGAACCUAUCAGCCCAAGCUCAAAAGGCCCAAGCUCAAAGCUUCAAACUAAAUUAUUUAAAUAAACAUCACCAUUGACACACAAAAAUUCACUUAAAACUAAACACAGCAUUUGACUUUAUUCUUUUUAAAUUAGAUUUGAUCCUCCUCACUCCCAACUGUAUAUCUAUUAUUUUUACUUUCUCUUGUUAAAAAUUUUUGGAUCCGUUUUUCACCAACUAAAUUUUUGGUAGGAAAAAAAAACUGCUUUUGAUAAAUAUAAAGUUGAGAAAAAAUUUUGCAUACUAAAUUUUUUCGUUUCAAAAUUUUAAAGGAAUAAAUAGAUUUCGAAAUUCCAAGUAAGCAAAAAGAAAGUUGAAAAAAAUUUUGUUUUGCAAAAUUUCUCGUUUUUGAAAUUUCUAGUAGGAAAAAAAAAGUCGAAAAAAAAUUCAUUUUUCUGACUGACGGUGGAUAUUUUUUUGGUAGAAAAAUUCAACUUUGAAUUUUUCGAUAAUUAUUUUGUUAAUCAUAAAAUUUUAAAUUGAAAUUUCUGUAUAUCAGAGGAAAAAACUAAU